rnacentral:rRNA from 1 species
GACGAACGCUGGCGGCGUGCUUAACACAUGCAAGUCGAGCGGUAAGGCCCUUUCGGGGUACGACGAGCGGCGAACGGGUGAGUAACACGUGGGUGACCUGCCCUCAGCUCUGGGAUAAGCCUGGGAAACCGGGUCGUAAUACUGGAUAUGACUCCAUGACGCAUGUUGUGGGGUGGAAAGCCUUGUGCGGCUGAGGAUGGGCCCGCGGCCUAUCAGCUU